UCACGAGGUGGGCAUCCGCAGGCGGCGUU
rnacentral:sRNA from 1 species